AUUUAGGAGACGAUUAACAAAUCAAUUGAUGAUAUUAGAGAUCUUAAGGUAGCACGAAAAUCGGAUUUCUCUCUGAUCUAGGGUUAGGGUUUAAGCAGAAGAAAUCGGAGGUCAGAAAGCGAAUCCAAUGGCGUCACCGAUUGGAUUUUACUCCGGCGCCAGCAGCCUGGCUCUGGUCGGUCGUGUGUCGGCGUUCACUUUGGGAAUGCUCUACGGGAACACGAAGCUCAAGAUUCUCAAGAUAAAAGCAAACUCGCAAAAGAAGGCCAAAGCCAAGAUUCAUCACUGAGAAGGUUAGCAGAGCAAACUCGUCCCACAUGUUUUGAAGAGAGCCAUGCCAUGGAGAUCUUCCCUUUUCUUUUGGGCUCUGAUUGUUCGUCCAAACAAUCUCCUGUAUUGUCAUUUUUUCCGGCAAACUUAAGAUCUGUUAUAACCACCCCCUUGAACAUGAAGGGUUUGAUUUAAAGAAGUCAUUGGCUCACUAGUCUGGUGUUUUCCAGUUGUCAGUGGCAAUUUGCUUCA